rnacentral:rRNA from 1 species
GACGAACGCUGGCGGCGUGCUUAACACAUGCAAGUCGAACGGAAAGGCCCUGCUUGCAGGGUACUCGAGUGGCGAACGGGUGAGUAACACGUGGGUGAUCUGCCCUGCACUUCGGGAUAAGCCUGGGAAACUGGGUCUAAUACCGGAUAGGAGCCAUUUUUAGUGUGAUGGUUGGAAAGUUUUUUCGGUGUAGGAUGAGCUCGCGGCCUAUCAGCUUGUUGGUGGGGUAAUGGCCUACCAAGGCGGCGACGGGUAGCCGGCCUGAGAGGGUGGACGGCCACAUUGGGACUGAGAGACGGCCCGGCCCCCUAGGGGGGGCGGCGGGGGGGAUUUUUGAAAAAGGGGCGAAAGCCGUAGGCAGCGACCCCGGGUGGGGGAUGGCGCCCUGGGGGUUGUAACCUCCUUUCGCUGGGGACGAGGCUUUUUGUGACGGUCCCUAAAAAAGAAGCCCCGGCUAACUCCGUC